rnacentral:rRNA from 1 species
CUCCAGACUCCUACGGGAGGCAGCAGUGAGGAAUAUUGGUCAAUGGGCGGGAGCCUGAACCAGCCAAGUCGCGUGAGGGAAGACGGUCCUACGGAUUGUAAACCUCUUUUGCCGGGGAGCAACGGGGUCCUUGCGAGGGCCCAAUGAGAGUACCCGGAGAAAAAGCAUCGGCUAACUCCGUGCCAGCAGCCGCGGUAAUACGGAGGAUGCGAGCGUUAUCCGGAUUUAUUGGGUUUAAAGGGUGCGUAGGCGGGCUGUUAAGUCAGCGGUCAAAUGUCGGGGCUCACCCCCGGCCUGCCGUUGAAACUGGCGGGCUGGAGUUGGAGAGAAGUACGCGGAAUGCGCGGUGUAGCGGUGAAAUGCUUAGAUAUCGCGCAGAACCCCGAUUGCGAAGGCAGCGUACCGGCGCCACACUGACGCUGAGGCACGAAAGCGUGGGUAUCGAACAGGAUUAGAUACCCUAGUAAG